CAGCCAUUUCGCCAUCGACACACCGGUUCUCGCACGAUCACCAAAGAUAAGCAACGUCGAGCGUGGUCAGUAUUAAAAUGGGUGACUGCUUUGGAAUACUU